rnacentral:ncRNA from 1 species
GCAGAGCCCCGACGGGCUCCCGGACGAGCGGUGCCGUACCCGGACAGCGACAAGACGGCGCCAG